rnacentral:rRNA from 1 species
UGGGGAAUAUUGCACAAUGGGCGAAAGCUUGAUGCAGCGACGCCGCGUGGAGGAUGAAGGUUUUCGGAUUGUAAACUCCUGUUAAGUGGGAAGAAAGACUCAUGGCUAAUAUCCAUGAGGGAUGACGGUACCACUAGAGAAAGCACCGGCAAACUUCGUGCCAGCAGCCGCGGUAAUACGAAGGGUGCGAGCGUUAUUCGGAAUGACUGGGUGUAAAGAGCGUGGAGGCGGCUUAGUAAGUCAGCUGUUAAAUAGCCCAGCUUAACUGGGAAGAUGCGGAUGAUACUAUUAGGCUAGAGUACAAGAGAGAAGAGUGGAAUUCUCGGAGUAGCGGUAAAAUGCGUAGAUCUCGAGAGGAACACCGGUUGCGAAGGCGGCUCUUUGGCUUGUAACUGACGCUUGAGCGCGAAAGCGUGGGGAGCAAACAGG